AUAUCUGAUGAAGACAUUAUGCAAAUAAGGCUCCUUUAUUUUUGUCAUAUAAGUCUUGUUAGAUCACUCCUACUGUGCCUUUCUUCCUCGUGUCUGUAACAGUUAUGGAGACUUCAUAUCUUUUCAUGUUUAUGACUGUUUUAUCAUAUGUCCGGUCAGACAUUGUCCUGACUCAGAAAGAUAAUGAAGUCAAGAAGCCUGGAGAGUCUCUGCGACUGACCUGUCAAGGCUCUGGGCAGAACAGUGCUGGGAGUUCUGUUACUGCUUACUGGCUGAGCUGGAUUCGACAAGAGCCUGGAAAAGGGCUUGAAUGGCUGGGUUACAUUAACCCUGACAGCAGUAAUAUAAAGUAUGCAAGCAGCAUUCAAGGACGAUUUACAAUCUCCAGAGACAAUUCUAAACAGGCUCUGUAUUUGGACAUGAACAACCUCAAAACUGAAGACACAGCCAAAUAUUACUGCACUACAGGCACAAUAAGGAACUUCUUGCUUUCGCUCACACAAAAUCUCCACUAA